rnacentral:lncRNA from 1 species
GGGUAGAGGAAAGUAGGGCUUGUCAGCGCUUAUCUACUUCAACCUGACGGUGGAGAAGGGGUAAACCCUAAAUCAUCAUUGGAGUGGCAGAGAAACAAGCUAAAGAAGAAAUGCAGACCAAGUACCUAAAAGGUACCUUGCUAUCUGUACUACUGCUUCAUCGCAUUGCCUCAUUCAUACUAUAUAGAUGCCAAGAUAACUAGAAGGUCACCAUGAAGAGACUAUUGGAAAAAUGUUGAGCAUAGACUAGAUGUUUUAUACCCAACAGUGACAAUAAAAGUAAUAGACAUGAUAAGCAAUGUGCCCAAGGGAAAGGCCACACUAUAUAAAAGCAUCUCUCUUGGAAAAUAUCAACUCAUGAAGAAAACUAUGAUGAAUGGAA